UUCUCGUCAGACAUGAAAUAUCUGGUAUGGUUUUCGUGUCUCACUUAUGUAUGUGGACUCGUCGAAUUUCAACAUCCAGACAACGGACUACUGCGCCGUACAACUGUGGAUUCAGAUAUAAAAAGAUCUCAGUUUCAGGAAAAAGAAGAUCAACCUCCUUACAUUCCGCCAGUGGAAUUUGGAAGAAAAAGAGAAGCACCACUCUUGGAAAAACUACACCUACUCCAUGAAGAAAGGAAUGAAAAAAGACGGUUUUGAGCAAUGACAGACAACUUUUAAAGAAGCAAAACCCCAUAGGAAAAUUCAACUGGAUGAAUCGACUCAAAAUUUCUACAGUGUUGUUUUAAUUAUAACAUAUUAACUUAAAUGCAGUGCACGGUGCAGAUGCUGUGACUCUAAUGUUUAAAAGCACUUUAUAAAAACCUAAGAUAAAGAGAAUCUGUCUCUCUAAACUGC